GAUAAAAGUGGCAUAAAUCAUCCUCUUGAGAACUGUGUAUAAAUACAUCUUGUCAAACGCAGGAGUUUUGGGAAGACUCAGAAUUAGACACCCCAGACCUCUCUGGAGUCUUACACUGGCUCUCCAUUACAGCACUGGAUAAUCCUUUAUACUCCACAUGAGGUUGUGUGUGUAUACAGAAGAAUCAAAUGUCUCAGCUCAAGCCCUUGAACUUCUGAUACUGUUUUACCUUGCUGGAUCUGUUUCAAGAUUAAAAUGCAAAGACCGUCAGCUUUUCAACAGGAAUAGGCUUCAAGUUUUACUCAGAGAACACACUAACAAGAUGAUUUACCUUCUGCCCUAAUUAUUUUCCUCCUAAAAAUGUUUGUCAUUUGACCAAUAGCAUAAGUAACAAAUGAGCAACCAACCUAGAUAAAUAGUUGAAACUCAACAGUCAAAACAAAUAGUCUCAGACUGAACUUUAUUGGCCUCAGCAAUUUAGCAAAUACAAAUAAUGUGUUACUUGUGAAGAUGGUGAAUUGAAUGUGUGCCCAGUCUGAGACAACGAAGGUGGGCUUAUGCAUGCCACUGUGCUGUCAGGCAGCAUUUUCUGGGUGAAAUUCUGGGCUUUUAUCUCCUUAGAGAUCCCGCCUGUGAAAUGACGUAAAGCUGAGACAGGUGCUUUAACUUCACUUUUGUCCUCUGCUUGGGGAUUACAUCUCCCCUGCCCCUACAAGUGACCUCGGACCUUCCUCUCCCCUCCUGGGUGUGGUGGCCUGGCCCUUCUACCUCCUCACGAGGAGGCUACUUCCUGCUGGUCUUCUUUCUGCUCUUGCAGUAGUUUUUAGGCUCCCUAGAUAUAUUAGCCUUGAGGGCUUGCCUUCAUUCAAUAUCGUUACUAAUACAGCUGCCUUAUUGGGUACACACAGACUUCAACUACAGUUUGUAAAAAGGUCUUUGGAAGCUUGUGCAGGUCUUGUGCCUCUCCCUUUGGUCUAACAGAGGCCUGGGGUAGGUUUGCAUAACAUCAAUCCUUUUAUAUGGCCUA